rnacentral:rRNA from 1 species
GAUGAACGCUGGCGGCGUGCCUAAUACAUGCAAGUCGAGCGAACAGACGAGGAGCUUGCUCCUCUGACGUUAGCGGCGGACGGGUGAGUAACACGUGGAUAACCUACCUAUAAGACUGGGAUAACUUCGGGAAACCGGAGCUAAUACCGGAUAAUAUAUUGAACCGCAUGGUUCAAUAGUGAAAGACGGUUUUGCUGUCACUUAUAGAUUGAUCCGCGCCGCAUUAGCUAGUUGGUAAGGUAACGGCUUACCAAGGCAACGAUGCGUAGCCGACCUGAGAGGGUGAUAGGCAAAACUGGAACUGAGAAACGGUCCAGACUCCUACGGGAGGCAGCAGUAGGGAAGCUUCCGCAAAGGGCGAAAGCCUGACGAAGCAACGCCGCGUGAGUGAUGAAGGUCAUCGGAUCGUAAAACUCUGUAAUAAGGGAAGAAAAAAUGUGUAAGUAACUAUGCACGUCUUGACGGUACCUAAUCAGAAAGCCACGGCUAACUACGU